rnacentral:tRNA from 2 species
GCCGAGGUGGCGAAACGGCAGACGCGCUGCGUUCAGGGCGCAGUGUCCAUUAGGACGUGUGGGUUCAAAUCCCUCCCUCGGCACCA